AGCUCCAAUAGCGUAUAUUAAAGUUGUUGCAGUUAAAAAGCUCGUAGUUGAAUUUUGGGCCUGGCUGGGCGGUCUUGCCGCAAGGUAAGCACUGCUCUGGUUGGGUCUUUCCUUCUGGGGAGCCAGCGUGCUCUUAACUGAGUGCGUUGGGGAUCCAGGACUUUUACUUUGAAAAAAUUAGAGUGUUUAAAGCAGGCUUACGCUUGAAUACAUUAGCAUGGAAUAAUAGAAUAGGACUUUGGUUCUAUUUUGUUGGUUUCUAGGACCGAAGUAAUGAUUAAUAGGGAUAGUUGGGGGCAUUAGUAUUUAAUUGUCAGAGGUGAAAUUCUUGGAUUUAUGAAAGACUAACUUCUGCGAAAGCAUUUGCCAAGGAUGUUUUCA
rnacentral:rRNA from 1 species